rnacentral:rRNA from 1 species
UACAGAGGGGGCAAGCGUUGUUCGGAAUUACUGGGCGUAAAGGGCGCGUAGGCGGCCGACUAAGUCAGACGUGAAAUCCCCAGGCUCAACCUGGGAACUGCGUCUGAUACUGGACGGCUCGAGUUCGGGAGAGGGAAGUGGAAUUCCAGGUGUAGCGGUGAAAUGCGUAGAUAUCUGGAGGAACACCGGUGGCGAAGGCGGCUUCCUGGACCGACACUGACGCUGAGGCGCGAAAGCCAGGGGAGCAAACGGG